rnacentral:rRNA from 1 species
CGGCCAAUCCUCGUGUAAGGCUUACACAUGCAAGUCGAGCGCCCCGCAAGGGGAGCGGCAGACGGGUGAGUAACACGUGGGAACGUACCCUUUACUACGGAAUAACGCAGGGAAACUUGUGCUAAUACCGUAUGUGCCCUUUUGGGGAAAGAUUUAUCGGUAAGGGAUCGGCCCGCGUUGGAUUAGCUAGUUGGUGGGGUAAAGGCCUACCAAGGCGACGAUCCAUAGCUGGUCUGAGAGGAUGAUCAGCCACAUUGGGACUGAGACACGGCCCAAACUCCUACGGGAGGCAGCAGUGGGGAAUAUUGGACAAUGGGCGCAAGCCUGAUCCAGCCAUGCCGCGUGAGUGAUGAAGGCCCUAGGGUUGUAAAGCUCUUUCACCGGAAAAAAUAAUGACGGUAUCCGGAGAAGAAGCCCCGGCUAAUUUCGUGCCAGCAGCCGCGGUAAUACGAAGGGGGCUAGCGUUGUUCGGAAUUACUGGCCGUAA